UUAACUUUCAGGUUUGUACUUCUCGUCGGUUACAUUGGUAAGUAUAAUUUGGUUUUUCUUUUUUUUCUGUUUUCAGGUAUCUGGAGCUAAUAUGGUCAUAUCGGUAAGUAUUUUCUUUUCAACAAUACACAAAACAUAAUUUCCACAGCUAUUACACAAUUUAAACUAGACACGACGCGCACUACUACUCCCGAUUCUAGCUCUAGGCGGAAAGACCGGAUAUCGCAAUCUCCCGAGUUCGUCUCUUUAUUAGAAUCCGCAGGAAAACCCCAACUCCGACAAUCUGGUUUUGACAAAUGCUGAUGGUUGAGAACCCUGCUCAUAAAGCAUUGUGAGUGAACACACGAAAGUUAGAAGAAACAAUAGCUCAAACCAGUUGAGCUUUUCGUAGCCAAUGAGCAGGGGCCUGACAUGCUGAUGAGUUUUUAUUUAUUUACAGUAUGGUGUGUGGUCUCUGUAGUGUGUCUGUAGUGUUUAUUUGGAAUAUUAUGAAACCGAUCGGUUACAUUACCCCACCGUCCCUCUUCAAAAUGAAUUGAAAAUUCAUUUUGAACAAAAGUGGUUCAAGGUCAGACCUUGUCAACAUUUUAAUGGUUUUGUCGCAGCAAAAGCUUAAAAUGUCAACAUAUAGUAAACGUCAAUCCUUCAUCUCUUUCACUCAAGUGAAGUCAGAAAAGUACGCAGUAUUUUGAGCAACUUGAAGAUCUCCAUCUUGGACGCUUUCGGUGAGUAUCAUUCCAACCAAUUCCUACGAGCAGAUGGUUCGGUAAGUCCGGGAAUUGAUUCGAAGGAUCAAAAAAAUUGAUCUAAUUAUUAUCUCAAGAAUCUGGUUUUAGAUCAGAAGCAGAGAAAACUCCGAUUGGUUUACCUGCCUCAUCGGCAAGUUCGUAUGAACUGGUACCAACCCUAGCGAGGACAAUACAUGGUACAUAAGAUGGACCCAACUUGGCAUUAUACCGAUCUGCAGCCGAUGACUGGCGGAAGUUUCGUUUAUAAACUUUCUGUCCAACGGCGUAUGAUGGAGCAGGUUUACGGAAACUUAUUUCACACUCAUCCCUAUCAAUACGAUGUUCAUCACCUAAGUCGAUGAUUUCGUGACCAAAAAGGACCCUAUACGGAGAUAAUCCUGUGCAACUAUGCGGAGAGUUAUUCAAUGCGUGCUCUAUUUCCGAGAUACGAGUGUCCCAUAGUCUCUGAUCGCUCCGAACAUAUGUUCGAAUACAAGCAUUGAUUGUGCGAUUCAUCCGCUCAACGGGGUUAGCCUGGCUAUGAUAACGUGAGUUAGCCCAAUGCUGAAUAUGGAACUGUUCCAGAAAUCGCUGGAACUCUUUGGAUAAAAAUGUCGAAGCAUUAUCCGAGAUAAUGUACUCGGGGGUAGAGUAACGACGAAACCAAUUUUCGGAAAGGAUUUUGCAAACCUGAGUUGUUGAAAUUUUUCGAACGGGAAACAUGAGACAGAACUUGGAAAAGAGAUCCAUUAUAACGAAAAGGGUUCUUUUGAACUUUACAGACAAGACUACUGUACCAGUCGGAUUUUUGAGGAUUCGCACUGAGAGAUUCUACCGCACGCGACAGGGCAUCGGGCACGACAUUAUCAACACCUCGUCGAUGUUUGAUUUCGAGAUCAUGUCUUUGAAGUUCAAUACUCCAACGGCACAGUCUAGAGGAUGUUCUCCAGCUGCUUCGUAAGAUAUGGUGAACCAUAAGAUGCUUAUACUGGAUUAUAAUGUCUGAAUCCAUAUUAAUUGCAGUAAUUUGGACUAUCUGCCCAGGCGAACGAAAAAUAUUAAAUACCGAUUCACAGCCAGAUCAACGUCUGUGCCCUCCACAGACUCACUCUGCUAUCCAGCAGUACUAACCCUUCUUCGUCACCGGUCAAAUGAACGGCACUCCAGGAUGGUUUUGAAAAGCGGCUUUUGUGAUUCUAGGGUUAUUUAACACUUUUCUUUCUUUGGCUUCAGAUAGUUUUAUUACUAUAUUAAUUUUAUCACAGCACCACUUCAGUAUAAAUAAAUAAUCCAACACCAAUUAUACGAAUAUUA